rnacentral:rRNA from 1 species
GACGAACGCUGGCGGCGUGCUUAACACAUGCAAGUCGAACGGAAAGGCCCCUUUGGGGGUACUCGAGUGGCGAACGGGUGAGUAACACGUGAGUAACCUGCCCUUGACUUCGGGAUAACUUCAGGAAACUGGGGCUAAUACCGGAUAGGAAUCCUUGCUGCAUGGUGGGGGUUGGAAAGCUUCGGGGGUUUUGGAUGGACUCGCGGCUUAUCAGCUUGUUGGUGGGGUAGUGGCUUACCAAGGCUUUGACGGGUAGCCGGACUGAGAGGGCGACCGGCCACAUUGGGACUGAGAGGAGGCCCAGACUCCUACGGGAGGAAGCAGGGGGGAAUAUUGCACCAUGGGCGGAAGCCUGAUGCAGCAACGCCGCGUGCGGGAUGACGGCCUUCGGGUUGUAAACCGCUUUCAGCAGGGGCGAAGCUUGUGGUGACGGUACCUGCAGAAGAAGCACCGGCUAACUACGUG